CGGGCGGCUGCACCAGUGAGGAAUAUUGCACAAUGGGGGGAACCCUGAUGCAGCAACGCCGCGUGGAGGAUGACGCAUUUCGGUGUGUAAACUCCUUUUAUAUGUCAAGAAAAUGACGGUAGCAUAUGAAUAAGCUCCGGCUAACUCCGUGCCAGCAGCCGCGGUAAUACGGAGGGAGCAAGCGUUACUCGGAAUCACUGGGCGUAAAGGACGCGUAGGCGGGAUAGAAAGUCAGGUGUGAAAUCCUAUGGCUCAACCAUAGAACUGCACUUGAAACUUCUAACCUAGAGUAUGGGAGGGGGAGAUGGAAUUAGUGGUGUAGGGGUAAAAUCCGUAGAUAUCACUAGGAAUACCAAAAGCGAAGGCGAUCUCCUGGAACAAUACUGACGCUAAGGCGUGAAAGCGUGGGGAGCAAACAGGAUUAGAUACCCGAGUAGUC
rnacentral:rRNA from 1 species